rnacentral:rRNA from 1 species
GACGAACGCUGGCGGCGUGCUUAACACAUGCAAGUCGAACGGAAAGGCCCUGCUUUUGUGGGGUGCUCGAGUGGCGAACGGGUGAGUAACACGUGAGUAACCUGCCCUUGACUUUGGGAUAACUUCAGGAAACUGGGGCUAAUACCGGAUAGGAGCUCCUGCUGCAUGGUGGGGGUUGGAAAGUUUCGGCGGUUGGGGAUGGACUCGCGGCUUAUCAGCUUGUUGGUGGGGUAGUGGCUUACCAAGGCUUUGACGGGUAGCCGGCCUGAGAGGGUGACCGGCCACAUUGGGACUGAGAUACGGCCCAGACGCCUACGGGAGGCAGCAGGGGGGAAUAUUGCACAAUGGGCGGAAGCCUGAGGCAGCAACGCCGCGUGCGGGAUGACGGCCUUCGGGUUGUAAACCGCUUUCGCCUGUGACGAAGCGUGAGUGACGGUAAUGGGUAAAGAAGCACCGGCUAACUACGUG